rnacentral:rRNA from 1 species
AGUGAACGCUGGCGGUGGGCCUAACACAUGCAAGUCGAACGGCAGCACAGUAAGAGCUUGCUCUUACGGGUAGCGAGUGGCGGACGGGUGAGGAAUACAUCGGAAUCUACUUUUUCGUGGGGGAUAACGUAGGGAAACUUACGCUAAUACCGCAUACGACCUACGGGUGAAAGCAGGGGAUCUUCGGACCUUGCGCGAUUGAAUGAGCCGAUGUCGGAUUAGCUAGUUGGCGGGGUAAAGGCCCACCAAGGCGACGAUCCGUAGCUGGUCUGAGAGGAUGAUCAGCCACACUGGAACUGAGACACGGUCCAGACUCCUACGGGAGGCAGCAGUGGGGAAUAUUGGACAAUGGGCGCAAGCCUGAUCCAGCCAUACCGCGUGGGUGAAGAAGGCCUUCGGGUUGUAAAGCCCUUUUGUUGGGAAAGAAAAGCAGCAGGUUAAUACCCCGCUGUUCUGACGGUACCCAAAGAAUAAGCACCGGCUAACUUCGUG